rnacentral:rRNA from 1 species
GAACGAACGCUAGCGGCGUGCUUAACACAUGCAAGUCGAACGAGAAACGGCCCUUCGGGGUCCAAGUAAAGUGGCGCACGGGUGAGUAACACGUGAGCAACGUACCCUUAGGUGGGGGAUAACGGGCCGAAAGGCUCGCUAAUACCGCAUGAGACCACAGCCCCUGCGGGGGCAGCGGCCAAAGGGGUGUACUUUCGGGCAUAUCUCGCCAAAGGAUCGGCUCGCGGACCAUUAGCUUGUUGGUGAGGUAACGGCUCACCAAGGCUCCGAUGGUUAGCUGGUCUGAGAGGAUGAUCAGCCACACUGGGACUGGAACACGGCCCAGACUCCUACGGGAGGCAGCAGUGGGGAAUAUUGCGCAAUGGGGGAAACCCUGACGCAGCAACGCCGCGUGGGUGAAGAAGGCCUUCGGGUUGUAAAGCCCUGUCGGGGGGGAAGAACGAACGGCGUAACCCGCCGGGUCUGACGGUACCCCCAAAGGAAGCACUGGCUAACUCCGUGCCAGCAGCCGCGGUAAUACGGAGAGUGCAAGCGUUGUUCGGAAUUACUGGGCGUAAAGCGCGUGUAGGCGGCCGCGUAAGUCCGACGUGAAAGCCCGGGGCUCAACCCCGGAAGUGCAUCGGAUACUGCAGAGCUCGAGUACUGGAGGGGAAAGCGGAAUUCCGAGUGUAGAGGUGAAAUUCGUAGAUAUUCGGAGGAACAUCUGUGGCGAAGGCGGCUUCCUGGACAGAUACUGACGCUGAGACGCGAAAGCGUGGGGAGCAAACAGGAUUAGAUACCCUGGUAGUCCACGCAGUAAACGAUGAGCACCAGGUGUUGGGAGUUUCACUCGCGGUGCCGAAGUUAACGCGAUAAGUGCUCCGCCUGGGGAGUACGGCCGCAAGGCUAAAACUCAAAGGAAUUGACGGGGGCCCGCACAAGCGGUGGAGUAUGUGGUUUAAUUCGACGCAACGCGCAGAACCUUACCUAGGCUUGACAUCCCGAGAACCCCCCAGAGACGGGGGGGUGCCCGCAAGGGAACUCGGUGACAGGUGCUGCAUGGCUGUCGUCAGCUCGUGUCGUGAGAUGUUGGGUUAAGUCCCGCAACGAGCGCAACCCUUGUCCUUAGUUGCCAGCAUUAAGUUGGGCACUCUAAGGAGACUGCCGGUGUCAAACCGGAGGAAGGUGGGGAUGACGUCAAGUCCUCAUGGCCCUUAUGACCAGGGCUACACACGUACUACAAUGGUGAUUACAAACCGUUGCGAACCCGCGAGGGGGAGCCAAUCGGAAAAAAGUUGCCUCAGUUCAGAUUGCAGUCUGCAACUCGACUGCAUGAAGGCGGAAUCGCUAGUAAUCGCAGAUCAGCACGCUGCGGUGAAUACGUUCCCGGGCCUUGUACACACCGCCCGUCACACCAUGGGAGUUGUUCGGACCCGAAGUCGGUGCACCAACCAGCAAUGGAAGGAGCCGCCGAAGGUCUGGGUAG